rnacentral:rRNA from 1 species
GACGAACGCUGGCGGCGUGCUUAACACAUGCAAGUCGAACGCUGAAGCUUGGUGCUUGCACUGGGUGGAUGAGUGGCGAACGGGUGAGUAAUACGUGAGUAACCUGCCCUUGACUCUGGGAUAAGCCUGGGAAACUGGGUCUAAUACUGGAUACGACAUGUCACCGCAUGGUGGUGUGUGGGAAGGGUUUUACUGGUUUUGGAUGGGCUCACGGCCUAUCAGCUUGUUGGUGGGGUAAUGGCUCACCAAGGCGACGACGGGUAGCCGGCCUGAGAGGGUGACCGGCCACACUGGGACUGAGACACGGCCCAGACUCCUACGGGAGGCAGCAGCGGGGAAUAUUGCACAAUGGGCGGAAGCCUGAUGCAGCGACGCCGCGUGAGGGAUGACGGCCUUCGGGUUGUAAACCUCUUUCAGCACGGAAGAAGCGAAAGUGACGGUACGUGCAGAAGAAGCGCCGGCUAACUACGUG